rnacentral:rRNA from 1 species
CCUACGGGAGGCUGCAGUGGGGAAUAUUGCACAAUGGGCGCAAGCCUGAUGCAGCCAUGCCGCGUGUGUGAAGAAGGCCUUCGGGUUGUAAAGCACUUUCAGCGGGGAGGAAGGCGUUAAGGUUAAUAACCUUGGCGAUUGACGUUACCCGCAGAAGAAGCACCGGCUAACUCCGUGCCAGCAGCCGCGGUCAUACGGAGGGUGCAAGCGUUAAUCGGAAUUACUGGGCGUAAAGCGCACGCAGGCGGUCUGUCAAGUCGGAUGUGAAAUCCCCGGGCUCAACCUGGGAACUGCAUUCGAAACUGGCAGGCUAGAGUCUUGUAGAGGGGGGUAGAAUUCCAGGUGUAGCGGUGAAAUGCGUAGAGAUCUGGAGGAAUACCGGUGGCGAAGGCGGCCCCCUGGACAAAGACUGACGCUCAGGUGCGAAAGCGUGGGGAGCAAACAGGAUUAGAUACCCGGGUAGUC